GGCACUGUGGCGAAAGUGGUAUACGCGCUGGUCUUAAGCGCCCUGAGUUCAGGGUCCUAAGCCUCCCAGUUCCUCAGGGAAUGCGGGUUCAAGUCCCGUCUGUGCCC